rnacentral:rRNA from 1 species
UACGGAGGGUGCAAGCGUUAAUCGGAAUUACUGGGCGUAAAGCGUGCGCAGGCGGUUUGUUAAGUCCGUUGUGAAAGCCCCGAGCUCAACUUGGGAAUUGCAGUGGAUACUGGCAGGCUGGAGUACGGUAGAGGAAGGUGGAAUUCCCGGUGUAGCAGUGAAAUGCGUAGAUAUCAGGAGGAACACCAAUGGCGAAGGCAGCUUGCUGGGCCGUUUCUGACGCUAAGGCACGAAAGCGUGGGGAGCGAACAGG